AUGGCUCCUACCGAGGCUGAGGAUGAUGUAGAGGAGGGAGAAGAGAAGAAGAAGAGGGAAAGGAAGGCAGCCGGAGCUGCUUUCACGUGGAUUCAAAAUAACUUUGCGACGUGCCCUCCGGAUGCAACUCAUGAUGUGAUCCAGACACAUGCUCGUGUGUAUAUGUGGUACAUUGUGUCGAGGACUUUGUUUCCUGACUCCACUGGCAAGAACGCUCCAUGGAUGUGGCUGAAGGCGUUGACCGUCUUCGAUAGCAAAUGGAGCUGGGGUUCAGCGACUCUUGCCUACUUGUACCGACAGGUAGUUGGUCUGUUUUGUGAUCAACUCAUUUAUUCAUUAGCAAUGCAAGCUUGCUAUCAAGUUAACAUUGUUUUUCUUUCAUAUGUAGCUGGAUGA
rnacentral:rRNA from 1 species